rnacentral:rRNA from 1 species
GAUGAACGCUGGCGGCGUGCUUAACACAUGCAAGUCGAACGGGAAGGCCUUUUUUUUGUGGGGUGCUCGAGUGGCGCACGGAUGAGUCACCCGUGAGUAACCUAACCAUGACUUUGGGAUAACUUUAGGACCCUGGGGCCAAUACCGGAUAGGAGCUCAUGCUGCUUGGUGGGGGCUGGCAAGUUACGGCGGUUGGGGAUGGACUCGCGGCUUAUCAGCUUGUUGGUGGGGUAGUGGCUUACCAAGGCUUUGACGGGUAGCCGGCCGGAGAGGGUGACCGGCCACAUUGGGACUGAGGUGCGGCGCAGACUCCUACGGGGGGCAGCAGUGGGGAAUAAUGCACAAUGGGCGGAGGCCUGAUGCAGCAACGCCGCGUGCGGGAUGACGGCGUUCGAGUGGUAAACCGCUUUCGCCUGUGACGAAGCAUGAGUGACGGUAAUGGGUAAAGAAGCACCGGCUAACUACGUG